AACUGGUCAGUGGGUCGUCUUAGGGGCGGAGUUGUAGGAGUUGGAGUAUACGCUUAGGGGCACUAUGAGCAGCAAAGAAAUCCAAAAAAAAAAUUUUUCGAAAAAAAAAAAUUUUUGGGACUUAGUAAAAUUUUCGUAUUUUUUUUUUUUUUUCAAAAAUUUGCCGAUUUUUUUGCAGAAUCGGAUUGACCUUGCCUGCAGCAACCAUUUACGAUCUGAGAAGCAUGGCCCUAGGAUGCACCGUUUCCGAGUUAUGGGCCAUUUUCAUUUUUCGUAUUUUUAGAAAAUGGUUUAUAUUUCCAAAAUGGUAGGUCGGACGAGAUUAUUUUCGGGAAAGAAAUUGUUGCUCCACUCGAAAGCCAUGACAUCGUGUAAAAAAAAUCAGCAAAAUUGAGAAAAAUAAAACCAACAUCAAAAAUUUUCUAAGUGUCGGGCGUCGUUUCAGCUUGAGUAUUGUUAGGGGCGCAGGACUUAGUAAAAUUUUCGGAGAGUUUUUUUUUUUCUAAAUUUUGCUGGUUUUUUUUACACAAUGUCAUGGCUUUUGAGUGGAGCAACAAUUUCUUUCCUGAAAACAAUCUCAUCUGAGCUACUAUUUUGGAAAUAUAAACCAUUUUCUAAAAAUACGAAAAAUGAAAAUGACCCAUAACUCGGAAACGGUGCGUCGGAGGACCAUGCUUCUCAGAUCAUAAACGCUUUCUAAGGAGUCACAAAAUUAGUUGCUGAAAUAAAAAUGGUCGAAUUCGACAAAAAAAAAUUUUUCCGAAAAUUUUACUAAGUCCUGCGCCCCUAACAAUACUCAAGCUGAAACGACGCCCGACACUUAGAAAAUUUUUGAUGUUGGUUUUUUUUUUCUCAAUUUUGCUGAUUUUUUUUACACGAUGUCAUGGCUUUCAAGUGGAGCAACAAUUUCUUUCCCGAAAAUAAUCUCGUCCGACCUACCUUUUUGGAAAUAUAAACCAUUUUCUAAAAAUACGAAAAAUGAAAAUGGCCCAUAACUCGGAAACGGUGCAUCCUAGGGCCAUGCUUCUCAGAUCGUAAAUGGUUGCUGCAGGCAAGGUCAAACCGAUUCUGCAAAAAAAUCGGCAAAUUUUCGAAAAAAAAAAUUUACGAAAAUUUUUCUAAGUCCUUGCUCCAUAGUGCCCCUAAGGCUACACUCCAACCCCCAAACUGCAUACUUUAAGAACUAAGACCUAAUAAGUGUAUUUUACGUUUAUAUUUUUAUCUUUUAAACCCUACAACUUUUUCUAAAUCUGUUUUUUAAACAAAUAUAAACAAAUUCAAAACAACGUAUGUAAAAAUCUACAGCUCUCUACGUAAGCGCUUUAUAUGAAAACUAGCUAAUGGCCAAACGUUCGCGUAGCGGAAACUUGAAUUUCUCCGAAGUUUAUGCAUGCACUGAUUUCAUUCAUACAUAAUCAAUUAUACACAAAUACACACUAAUUUUUGGACACAUAUCUUUUCUUCUAAAGUCUAUGGAUUAAAAAAAGUUCCGCCAGGACAACGUUCGCCAACGUUCGCCCAGCGGAAUCUGUUUUUGGUGAAUUUCUCCACAAUGGCUGCAUACACAAAUUUUUAUUUACCAUACACAAUUAUAGGACGUCUUACACUAAUUAUCUGCAUAAUUAAAAUCUUUAAAUUCAACAACAUUCCGCUGCGCGAACGCACACC
rnacentral:lncRNA from 1 species